GCACGAGGCUCUUUGGAAAAAUCAUAAGUGGAAAAGUGGUGUUAAUUGUCCAGUGUUGCUAUAUUUGUUGCGAACAAGGAAAAUCAUAUUUAGAUAUUUUUCUUUCCAAAUGUCGCAAGCAAGCGGAGAUAUAAGUGGCCAAAGGAAUGAAAUCCAAACCAAAUAAAAUGAUUAUUUGCUAUGACUGUAACUUGCCAGGGCAUAAACGCCCGGAUUGCCCUCAGCGACGUAAUAAAGAAAAAAUAAGUGUAGCAAAUGAAGUCACGGAUUCGGUCACAGCACUUACUGCUAAUUUUUCAAAUAAGGAUGUUUGGUACGUAGAUUCUGGGGCUACAAAACAUAUGACUUUCAGAAAAGAUUGGUUCCGGGACAUUAGGUCAAUGAAUACUGGAAAUAUAACUGUUGCAAAUGGUGAAAGCGUUAAAUGCUGUGGAAUAGGAAAUAUUUCUAUUAAGACACCUGGUGAUGUAUUAAAAACAAUAAGUGAUGUUGCCCUAGUACCAGAUUUAAAGGCUAAUUUACUAUCAGUACAGAAAGUUAUUGAUAAAGGUUUUGUAUGUGUUUUUGACAAAAGCGGAUGUAGU